rnacentral:misc_RNA from 1 species
AACUUUCGGCAACGGAUCUCUUGGCUCUCGCAUCGAUGGAGAACGCAGCGAAAUGCGAUAAGUAAUGUGAAUUGCAGAAUUCAGUGAAUCAUCGAAUUUUUGAACGCACCUUGCGCUCCCUGGUAUUCCGGGGAGCACGCCUGUUCGAGUGUCGUGAAAUUCUCAAACUGAGAUGCUUUUUUGUUUGUCGGCUGGGUGUUGGGCUUUGAAGUCCCCUUUGAUUGUGAUGGCAGGCCUCAAACGCAUUAGCUGGCUUUGCAUGUGGCAUUGGUUCUACUCAGCGUGAUAAUGAUCUGACCGCCGAGGACAUCUUUCGAGAUGGCCAAUUCUCAUUUGGGCUGCUUCUAAUCUUGGUCGAGCAGAUUCUGAAUCUGUUCCACUUUUCAACUUUUGACCUCGAAUCAGGUGGGACUACCCGCUGAACUUAAGCAUAUCAAUAAGCGGAGGCU